rnacentral:rRNA from 2 species
CAAUGGACGCAAGUCUGAUGGAGCAACGCCGCGUGAGUGAAGAAGGCUUUCGGGUCGUAAAACUCUGUUGUUGGAGAAGAAUGGUCGGCAGAGUAACUGUUGCCGGCGUGACGGUAUCCAACCAGAAAGCCACGGCUAACUACGUGCCAGCAGCCGCGGUAAUACGUAGGUGGCAAGCGUUAUCCGGAUUUAUUGGGCGUAAGGCGAGCGCAGGCGGUUUUUUAAGUCUGAUGUGAAAGCCCUCGGCUUAACCGAGGAAGCGCAUCGGAAACUGGGAAACUUGAGUGCAGAAGAGGACAGUGGAACUCCAUGUGUAGCGGUGAAAUGCGUAGAUAUAUGGAAGAACACCAGUGGCGAAGGCGGCUGUCUGGUCUGUAACUGACGCUGAGGCUCGAAAGCAUGGGUAGCGAACAGGAUUAGAUACCCUGGUAGUCCAUGCCGUAAACGAUGAAUGCUAGGUGUUGGAGGGUUUCCGCCCUUCAGUGCCGCAGCUAACGCAUUAAGCAUUCCGCCUGGGGAGUACGACCGCAAGGUUGAAACUCAAAGGAAUUGACGGGGGCCCGCACAACGGUGGAGCAUGUGGUUUAAUUCGAAGCA